AGCAGCCGCGGUAAUCCCAGCUCCAAUAGCGUAUAUUAAAGUUGUUGCAGUUAAAAAGCUCGUAGUUGAAUUUCGGGGUUAGUAGGUUGGUCAUGCCUCUGGUAUGUACUGGUCUCACUGAUUCCUCCUUCCUUAUGAACCGUAAUGCCAUUAAUUUGGUGUUGCGGGGAAUUUGGACUGUUACUUUGAAAAAAUUAGAGUGUUUAAAGCAAGCUAACGCUUGAAUACAUUAGCAUGGAAUAAUGAAAUAGGACGUUCGAUCUUAUUUUGUUGGUUUCUAGGAUUGACGUAAUGAUUAAUAGGGAUAGUUGGGGGCAUUAGUAUUCAAUUGUCAGAGGUGAAAUUCUUGGAUUUAUUGAAGACUAACUACUGCGAAAGCAUUUGCCAAGGAUGUUUUCAUUAAUCAAGAACGAAAGUUAGGGGAUCGAAGACGAUCAGAUACCGUCGUAGUCUUAACCAUAAACUAUGCCGACUAGGGAUCGGAUGAUGUUAAUUUUUUAAUGACUCAUUCGGCGCCUUACG
rnacentral:rRNA from 1 species